GUCCACGCCGUAAACGAUGGAUACUAGCUGUUCGGAGCAAUCUGAGUGGCUAAGCGAAAGUGAUAAGUAUCCCACCUGGGGAGUACGCACGCAAGUGUGAAACUCAAAGGAAUUGACGGGGGCCCCGCACAAGCGGUGGAGCAUGUGGUUUAAUUCGAUGAUACGCGAGGAACCUUACCAGGGCUUAAAUGUAGAUUGACAGGACUGGAAACAGUUUUUCUUCGGACAAUUUACAAGGUGCUGCAUGGUUGUCGU
rnacentral:rRNA from 1 species